rnacentral:rRNA from 1 species
ACUGCUCAGUAACACGUGGAUAACCUGCCCUUGGGUCCGGCAUAACCCCGGGAAACUGGGGAUAAUUCCGGAUAACGCACAUAUGCUGGAAUGCUUUAUGCGUAAAAUGGAUUCGUCUGCCCAAGGAUGGGUCUGCGGCCUAUCAGGUAGUAGUGGGUGUAAUGUACCUACUAGCCUACGACGGGUACGGGUUGUGAGAGCAAGAGCCCGGAGAUGGAUUCUGAGACAUGAAUCCAGGCCCUACGGGGCGCAGCAGGCGCGAAAACUUUACAAUGCGGGAAACCGUGAUAAGGGGACACCGAGUGCCAGCAUCAUAUGCUGGCUGUCCGGGUGUGUAAAAUACACCUGUUAGCAAGGGCCGGGCAAGACCGGUGCCAGCCGCCGCGGUAACACCGGCGGCCCGAGUGGUGAUCGUGAUUAUUGGGUCUAAAGGGUCCGUAGCCGGUUUGGUCAGUCCUCCGGGAAAUCUGACAGCUCAACUGUUAGGCUUUCGGAGGAUACUGCCAGACUUGGAACCGGGAGAGGUAAGAGGUACUACAGGGGUAGGAGUGAAAUCUUGUAAUCCCUGUGGGACCACCUGUGGCGAAGGCGUCUUACCAGAACGGGUUCGACGGUGAGGGACGAAAGCUGGGGGCACGAACCGGAUUAGAUACCCGGGUAGUCCCAGCCGUAAACGAUGCUCGCUAGGUGUCAGGCAUGGCGCGACCGUGUCUGGUGCCGCAGGGAAGCCGUGAAGCGAGCCACCUGGGAAGUACGGCCGCAAGGCUGAAACUUAAAGGAAUUGGCGGGGGAGCAC